UUUCAGAAAGAAAGGGGUGAAUAUUAGUCCAAUGCUGCAAAGAAGUCAGGAAACAGAUCCCAUUUGCUGUCUUUUUGGGAGGGUGAAGGGGUAGCAUUGGUGGACUUCCCAGUUCAGACGCCUGAUUGGAUAUAUGCGAUUUCAGAAAGGCCUUUUGAUGGUCUCCAUGGACACCUCUGAGACAAAAUGGAAAAUGUGAGUUGCUAGAGCAGUCUGGACGGAGACAGACCAUCUGGCCCAAGGCAGGUUGAUGGUUAGUCAACACCAAUCCGAGGAGAGCACCACCCUGGCCCCAGGAGCGGCCUUCCUUUGAGAACACCGGCUUUACGGAUGACUUAGACUGACAGGUGCUUCAACGGCUCCAGGUGAUUUUAUCUGUAAUUCACAUGACGUUUGUCCUGGGAGGACCGUAAGAAGUGAGAACAGCGAGCAGAGGCCCAGCCUCCUGACCCCAGCGCUGCGCAUGGGGCCAUGGC